rnacentral:lncRNA from 1 species
AUGGAAUUUUGCAAAAGUUUAUGGUGGUCUCCAGUCCCUGGAUUCAUCUCACUUGUGAAGAAGAAGGGAGUGCUAAUGAGGCACUACACAGUACAAAGAAGCACAAGAUUAAGGAGACGAACAAUUCCUUUGAGUUUAAUGAGGAUCUAUGCCAAGGCAGAGGACUUUUGAGAAGGUGAUUGGUUGGCAAAUCCAGAUGUUGGACUUCCUAGUACCUGGUUUUACAAGUGCCUUUGUUUGGCUUUCACAUUGGCUCCCCUGUCUUUGUGAUUGAAGGGGGGGAAAACAUCAGACCAGAGAAUUAUAUUUCCCAUUUACCUCAGACUUUUGUCCCAAUUUCUUUUUUAUAGGAUGGCAAUUUUUUUUUGUAGUCCUGGCUGACAAUGGGUAAUUUCAAUAUUGCUGAAAUUGUCCUGAAUGUUUGUAGGAUAUAAGCAACCUCAAUUGGAUCUUGCUGGUGAAUCAAGGAUCUGUUACAAUUUCAAUUUCUACUCAUGAUUUUUAUAAAUGUAGGAUUUGAUAUAUACAUAAUUUAUAAUUGGAAAUCAGUUACCCUCAAAAAAGAACUAUAUUUCCUAGGAGCCCACUGAAUUCCUGUCAUUACAAACUUUCUAUAGACAGGGGAUAUUAGGCAAGGACAUGAAGGAUCAGGUCUCUUUUUGGCCCUGUUGGCAAGUAUGGUGGUGGUGAGAGGGGAUUUUAAAAUGGCUAAUCAGCCAUGGGCAUGUGGUCUUUAUUUUGUAUACCCUUUAUUCCUUUAUUUCUACAAUAAUAAAUCUCCUAAAAUAUAACA